AGGGAAGAGUCGCGGUUUCACCCGUGGAGCACGCAGGAGGAGAGAAGCUUGCAGUACAGCGGGGUCCGGGGCUCAGACCAUGGGAGCCUGCAGGACCCGAGUUGUGCCUCAGAGCCGUGCGAGGUCUGGACUCUGCCUUGGGAACUGGAGUUCUCCCGAGUAAAACCCACGAAGAGCAUCACAGGAGGCUGCGGGAUCCGGGGAAGCCCUGCUCCCCGGGAGCCCACGAAGAGACUUCCAGGAGCGUGGAAUCGAUGGACAGACUGACAAGACAGCAAAGGCCAGGCUCUGGGAGGUCUAGGACUCCGUGACCGCCCCGCCUCCCCCAGCCUCCCUCCCCUUCCCCCACUACCUGAGGCUCUGAAGCUUCCCGCUUCCUGGCUGAAACUCAGAUCUGGCAGCUCUGUGCCAAUGACUGGCUGAGUAGCUGAACUCAGGCCUCACAUGAGAGAUGCUUGCUCUCACAUCAUUCUAGGGAGAAGCUUGCCCUGAUAGUAUCUACCGAUUGACAUCCCGAUAUCAACACCUUCCAUGCUCACACCGCACCCCCGGGUGCCCCUCACUUCCUCUGCAUGGCUGGGCAGCCUCUCACCGCUGUGUUCCCUCAUUCCACCUGCGAGUGGGGAAAAUCAAUAUUUUCGAGGAAUGAAUGGACAUGUCUUUCUCUGUCAGGUGAGCCUACUUAAGGAGACAACUCAAGUGAGAAGAAAUCUUGGCUACUGAAGCUUAGGAUGAGCCAAGUUGGAAACACCUCCAGUCCGUGUGCAAGGCAGCAGAGGGGUCACGUGACCGGCGCAUCUCCGCUUCUCCUCGUGCUUCGUUGUGUUUUGUUUUGUUUUUUUCCCCCAAAGCUGUGGGGGUCGAAUGACCCUUUCACAGGGGUCACGUA